GACUGCUUCACCUUCAGAAAGGAGCCAGCUGACAUGAACUCACGCGUUCGCUUUUGAUACAAACUCGCGUGAACACAAAGUGUCAACAGAGGCUGAUGGGAAAUGUCGUUUUUUGUAUCACCGGCGGGAAGAGAAUGACACUAGCAGCAAGAGACCGUAACUAACCUCCGCGAGACACCAACUAACACGUUAGUUCAACAAAUAGAGAGACCAGAGCGUCUAUGAAUGGACAUGACAUCAUCAUCAUCAUCAUCAUCAUGGUCUUCAUCGGCCACGGCAGCUCAUGAAAAAAAUAAAAUAAAGGCAGCUCUCAUGAUGGAGCAGGCACUGCUACGACUGUGGAGAAAUCUGCCCCCUGAAGGAGGAGAGGUGUAGGGCCACAGCACAGGUCCUCAUUGUCUGUCAUCUCCUCUUCAUGUGUGCACAAAGCAGUGUCUAGGAAAGA